AUGAACGCUGGCGGUAUGCUUUACACAUGCAAGUCGAACGCAAAUUUUUAAUUUGAGUGGCGGACGGGUGAGUAACACGUGAGAAUUCACCUUUAGGUAGGGAAUAACUUUUGGAAACGAUAGCUAAUGCCCUAUAUACUUGAAAAAGUCAAAGAAGCAAUUCGCCUAAAGAGAAGCUCGCGGCUGAUUAGCUAGUUGGUAAGGUAAUGGCUUACCAAGGCGACGAUCAGUAGCUGGUUUGAGAGAACGAUCAGCCACACUGGAACUGAGACACGGUCCAGACUUCUACGGGAGGCAGCAGUGGGGAAUUUUCCGCAAUGGGCGAAAGCCUGACGGAGCAAUACCGCGUGAGGGAUGACAGCCUAUGGGUUGUAAACCUCUUUUAUCAAAGAGGAAGUUCUGACGUGUAUUUGAUGAAUAAGCAUCGGCUAACUCCGU
rnacentral:rRNA from 1 species